AGUGAACGCUGGCGGUAGGCCUAACACAUGCAAGUCGAACGGCAGCACAGUAAGAGCUUGCUCUUACGGGUGGCGAGUGGCGGACGGGUGAGGAAUACAUCGGAAUCUACUUUUUCGGGGGGGAUAACGUAGGGAAACUUACGCUAAUACCGCAUACGACCUACGGGUGAAAGCAGGGGAUCUUCGGACCUUGCGCGAUUGAAUGAGCCGAUGUCGGAUUAGCUAGUUGGCGGGGUAAAGGCCCACCAAGGCGACGAUCCGUAGCUGGUCUGAGAGGAUGAUCAGCCACACUGGAACUGAGACACGGUCCAGACUCCUACGGGAGGCAGCAGUGGGGAAUAUUGCGCAAUGGGCGCAAGCCUGAUCCAGCCAUACCGCGUGGGUGAAGAAGGCCUUCGGGUUGUAAAGCCCUUUUGUUGGGAAAGAAAAGCAGCAGGUUAAUACCCCGCUGUUCUGACGGUACCCAAAGAAUAAGCACCGGCUAACUUCGUG
rnacentral:rRNA from 1 species